CCUACGGGUGGCAGCAGUGAGGAAUAUUGGUCAAUGGACGCGAGCCUGAACCAGCCAAGUAGCGUGAAGGAUGACUGCCCUCUGGGUUGUAAACUUCUUUUAUAUGGGAAUAAAAUGUGCCAUGUGUGGGAUUUUGUAUGUACCAUAUGAAUAAGGAUCGGCUAACUCCGUGCCAGCAGCCGCGGUAAUACGGAGGAUCCGAGCGUUAUCCGGAUUUAUUGGGUUUAAGGGGAGCGUAGGUGGAUUGUUAAGUCAGUUGUGAAAGUUUGCGGCUCAACCGUAAAAUUGCAGUUGAAACUGGCAGUCUUGAGUACAGUAGAGGUAGGCGGAAUUCGUGGUGUAGCGGUGAAAUGCUUAGAUAGCACGAAGAACUCCGAUUGCGAAGGCAGCUCACUGGACUGCAACUGACACUGAGGCUCGAAAGUGUGGGUAUCAAACAGGAUUAGAUACCCCUGUAGUC
rnacentral:rRNA from 1 species